CUGCAAUGUGCAAGAGGUAAGUUUAGCAGAACAUUCUGGAAAGUAUAACCAUAGAGGGUGAUAGUCCCGUAUGCGAAAAACAAACCUUAGCUAGCAGUAUCCUGAGUAGGGCGGGACACGAGGAAUCCUGUCUGAAUCCGGGUCGACCACGAUCCAACCCUAAAUACUAAUACCAGAUCGAUAGUGCACAAGUACCGUGAGGGAAAGGUGAAAAGAACUGAGGUGAUCAGAGUGAAAUAGAACCUGAAACCAUUUGCUUACAAUCAUUCAGAGCCCUAUGUAGCAAUACAGGGUGAUGGACUGCCUUUUGCAUAAUGAGCCUGCGAGUUGUGGUGUCUGGCAAGGUUAAGCAAACGCGAAGCCGUAGCGAAAGCGAGUCUGAAUAGGGCGCUUAGUCAGAUGCUGCAGACCCGAAACGAAGUGAUCUAUCCAUGAGCAAGUUGAAGCUAGUGUAAGAACUAGUGGAGGACUGAACCCAUAGGCGUUGAAAAGCCCCGGGAUGACUUGUGGAUAGGGGUGAAAGGCCAAUCAAACUUCGUGAUAGCUGGUUCUCUCCGAAAUAUAUUUAGGUAUAGCGUUGUGUCGUAAUAUAAGGGGGUAGAGCACUGAAUGGGCUAGGGCAUACACCAAUGUACCAAACCCUAUCAAACUCCGAAUACCUUAUAUGUAAUCACAGCAGUCAGGCGGCGAGUGAUAAAAUCCGUCGUCAAGAGGGAAACAACCCAGACUACCAGCUAAGGUCCCUAAAUCUUACUUAAGUGGAAAACGAUGUGAAGUUACUUAAACAACCAGGAGGUUGGCUUAGAAGCAGCCAUCCUUUAAAGAAAGCGUAAUAGCUCACUGGUCUAGUGAUUUUGCGCGGAAAAUAUAACGGGGCUAAAGUAAGUACCGAAGCUGUAGACUUGCACACAACUUAGAUUAUUUAAGUUUAGAAUAUGAGAAACUAAGUUAUAUGUUUAGUUAUAUUUUUACUGAUUUUUAUAGAGUAAAGAUAGAAAUAAAACUUAGUAAAAUCAGUAAAAAUAUUCUUAGACUAAAGUUAAGUAGUUUAAGUUGUGUGCAAGUGGUAGGAGAGCGUUCUAUUUGCGUCGAAGGUAUACCGGUAAGGAGUGCUGGAGCGAAUAGAAGUGAGCAUGCAGGCAUGAGUAGCGAUAAUUAAUGUGAGAAUCAUUAACGCCGUAAACCCAAGGUUUCCUACGCGAUGCUCGUCAUCGUAGGGUUAGUCGGGUCCUAAGUCGAGUCCGAAAGGGGUAGACGAUGGCAAAUUGGUUAAUAUUCCAAUACCAACAUUAGUGUGCGAUGGAAGGACGCUUAGGGCUAAGGGGGCUAGCGGAUGGAAGUGCUAGUCUAAGGUCGUAGGAGGUUAUACAGGCAAAUCCGUAUAACAAUACUCCGAGAACUGAAAGGCUUUUUGAAGUCUUCGGAUGGAUAGAAGAACCCCUGAUGCCGUCGAGCCAAGAAAAGUUUCUAAGUUUAGCUAAUGUUGCCCGUACCGUAAACCGACACAGGUGGGUGGGAUGAGUAUUCUAAGGCGCGUGGAAGAACUCUCUUUAAGGAACUCUGCAAAAUAGCACCGUAUCUUCGGUAUAAGGUGUGGUUAGCUUUGUAUUAGGAUUUACUCCGAAAGCAAGGAAACUUACAACAAAGAGUCCCUCCCGACUGUUUACCAAAAACACAGCACUCUGCUAACUCGUAAGAGGAUGUAUAGGGUGUGACGCCUGCCCGGUGCUCGAAGGUUAAUUGAUGGGGUUAGCAUUAGCGAAGCUCUUGAUCGAAGCCCGAGUAAACGGCGGCCGUAACUAUAACGGUCCUAAGGUAGCGAAAUUCCUUGUCGGUUAAAUAUCGACCUGCAUGAAUGGCGUAACGAGAUGGGAGCUGUCUCAAAGAGGGAUCCAGUGAAAUUGUAGUGGAGGUGAAAAUUCCUCCUACCCGCGGCAAGACGGAAAGACCCCGUGGACCUUUACUACAGCUUGACACUGCUACUUGGAUAAGAAUGUGCAGGAUAGGUGGGAGGCUUUGAGUAUAUGACGCCAGUUGUAUAUGAGCCAUUGUUGAGAUACCACUCUUUCUUAUUUGGGUAGCUAACCAGCUUGAGUUAUCCUCAAGUGGGACAAUGUCUGGUGGGUAGUUUGACUGGGGCGGUCGCCUCCCAAAUAAUAACGGAGGCUUACAAAGGUUGGCUCAGAACGGUUGGAAAUCGUUCGUAGAGUAUAAAGGUAUAAGCCAGCUUAACUGCAAGACAUACAAGUCAAGCAGAGACGAAAGUCGGUCUUAGUGAUCCGGUGGUUCUGUGUGGAAGGGCCAUCGCUCAAAGGAUAAAAGGUACCCCGGGGAUAACAGGCUGAUCUCCCCCAAGAGCUCACAUCGACGGGGAGGUUUGGCACCUCGAUGUCGGCUCAUCGCAUCCUGGGGCUGGAGCAGGUCCCAAGGGUAUGGCUGUUCGCCAUUUAAAGCGGUACGCGAGCUGGGUUCAGAACGUCGUGAGACAGUUCGGUCCCUAUCUGCCGUGGGCGUAAGAAGAUUGAAGAGAUUUGACCCUAGUACGAGAGGACCGGGUUGAACAAACCACUGGUGUAGCUGUUGUUCUGCCAAGAGCAUCGCAGCGUAGCUAAGUUUGGAAAGGAUAAACGCUGAAAGCAUCUAAGCGUGAAGCCAACUCUAAGAUGAAUCUUCUCUAAGCUCUCUAGAAGACUACUAGUUUGAUAGGCUGGGUGUGUAAUGGAUGAAAGUCCUUUAGCUGACCAGUACUAAUAGAGCGUUUGGCUUAUCUUUAAUAAAGCAU
rnacentral:rRNA from 1 species